ACUAUCUUUGGCUAAUUGGAUCAAAAAAAGAUCUCAGCGUGAUUAAAAAGUGACAGGUUUACUACCGUUUCGUUUUUAAUUGUUUGCCAUAUCACGUUCUUUCUACCAUCUCUAUUUCAAUCCAGAGUCAGUUGCCAAAUUCAUUUCCUUCGCCAUUUCCAAAACCCGCGGGCGAUAUUUCGGUAGAAAUUACCACACCCAGUCACUCGACUGAAGAAAGACAAAUAGUAUUACGUAACCGCAGACGUGAAAGGUGAGCAGAGGUCAUGAGGUCAACAGCGGUCACCGAUUCAAUCAAAUUCACCAGUAACAGAAGAAGAAGAAGCUGUCGAAUUCAGUUCACGCCUUCUCUCUGUCUGUUCGCGAGUCUCUUCCUCUUUCUCUCCUUGUUUAACAGUGUGACAUCUCAGUUCGUGUUCUGUGCAGAACAGGAUUUUCUGUGCCAAUUGAGUCAGAUCAAGCCAACUCCACCGAAAAGGAUGCUCUACAGAUUGGGCAAGCGAGGAGACUUCUCAAGGUCAGCUUACAAUCCACUCUACCCCUGGUCAGAAUCAGGAAUGUAUUGAAGAAAUAGUUCUAUCCCAAUUAAAUCCCAAGAACGCAACACGACCAUGAUUACCGAAGGCUGUUUUUCAAAGCAUUAUCAGAGUAUAGAACCUUGUAGAAAUGAAUAAAGCGUUAAUACGGCAGAGU